UCAGGCCUAACACAUGCAAGUCGAGCGAGGACUUCGGUCCUAGCGGCGGACGGGUGAGUAACGCGUGGGAACGUGCCCUUUGCUUCGGAAUAGCCCUGGGAAACUGGGAGUAAUACCGGAUGAGCCCUACGGGGGAAAGAUUUAUCGGCGAAGGAUCGGCCCGCGUUGGAUUAGGUAGUUGGUGGGGUAAUGGCCUACCAAGCCGACGAUCCAUAGCUGGUUUGAGAGGAUGAUCAGCCACACUGGGACUGAGACACGGCCCAGACUCCUACGGGAGGCAGCAGUGGGGAAUCUUAGACAAGGGGGGAAACCCUGAUCUAGCCAUGCCGCGUGAGCGAAGAGAGGCCUUAGGGUUGUAAAGCUCUUCAGCUGGGAAGAUA
rnacentral:rRNA from 1 species